rnacentral:rRNA from 1 species
GUCAUUGGGAUUCGUAGCUAAACCUAAAGGCGAAAUGAAAGUGAAGGCGCGCCUCGCGCGCGCCGAGGGAGGAUGGGCGAGGCUACCGGCCGUCGCCCCGCACUCCCGGGGCGUCUCGUUCUCAUCGCGAGAAGAGGCGCACCCAGAGCGUACACGCUGGGACCCGAAAGAUGGUGAACUAUGCCUGGUCAGGACGAAGUCAGGGGAAACCCUGAUGGAGGUCCGUAGCGAUUCUGACGUGCAAAUCGAUCGUCGGAACUGGGUAUAGGGGCGAAAGACUAAUCGAACCAUCUAGUAGCUGGUUCCCUCCGAAGUUUCCCUCAGGAUAGCUGGCGCUCGCUUUUUGCGAGUCUCAUCCGGUAAAGCGAAUGAUUAGAGGCAUUGGGGUCGAAACGGCCUCAACCUAUUCUCAAACUUUAAAUGGGUGAGAUCUCCGGCUUGCUUGAACAACGAUGUUAAUCUUGUGAAGCCGCGAGAUCGGAUCAGAGUGCCAAGUGGGCCACUUUUGGUAAGCAGAACUGGCGCUGUGGGAUGAACCAAACGCGGAGUUAAAGCGCCUAAAUCGACGCUUAUGGGAUACCAUGAAAGGCGUUGGUAACUUAAGACAG